AUGUUCCUGUGGCUAAAUUUUGUGCCCUUUCUAGCAGUCCUCAGAGGUGUCCAAUCUGAGGCCCAGUUGGUGGAGUCUGGAGGGGAUGUGAGAAGACCUGGGGAGUCCCUCCAUCUCUCCUGCCAAGCCUCUGGAUUCAGCUUCAGCAGCUAUGACAUGCACUGGGUGAGACAGGUCCCAGGAAAAGGGCUGGAAUGGGUUUCACAGAUAUAUCCAGGAUCUUCUAGCAUUUACUACUCAGACAAAGUCAAGGGCCGCUUCACCAUCUCCAGAGAUGAUGCCAAAAGCCAGCUGCAUCUGCAGAUGAACAAUCUGAAACUAGAGGACACAGCUGUCUAUUACUGUGCAAGAGACACAGCGAGAGGAAGUGAAUCUGAAGCCCGUCAAGAACUUUCAUUACCUCUGAGCAAUUCUCCAAAUUGA